CACAAACUCACAUUCUGUGUUAUAGUUCUCCUAGAAAGCAAACAUGACAAUGAUCAAGAAAGACUAUUCAGGUAAUAGCUCUCUUACCUCUACUAGAUUGAACUAAAGUCAAAUGCAAGACUCUAAUUGAUUAUAGGCAAAGGGUAGAGACACAUGAUAUAAAAUAGCCUAUAGUUUAAUGUAAAGCACAACUCUUUAAUUGGUAUAUCAUUAGCUAGAUAUACCCACAGUCUGAUAAUCCAAUUUAUUGCAAUGCUUUGAGCUGUAAACAACACUUUUAUGAAACCUCUUUAUUUCAGCAUCACAGAAUGGAAGUCCCUUGCCCACCUGUGUUGCUCUGAAAUGCUAGACUAUAAUGAGGAGUAUAUGUCCAUCCCGACUGCUCGCAUUUCACAGGAUCUGUCAAAACUUUCCAAAUUUCUCUCAGCUGAGAAUAAGGGGAAACCAGUGUGAGAGUCCAGCAUGAGGAACGCCUUCCCCCCUGUGAGAGCAGUUCGAGCAGUGCAGAUAAAGGACCUCCCACACUGUACAUCUUCGUUUUCUUAACUACAGAACCGCCUCUGCUGCAUCUGUGUGAUGAAGACCUCAGCACCUUAACAUGUGUAAAGCACAGAGGAACUGCUGCCAUGGCCUCUGUGAAGGUUUUCCUUUAGAAAUGCCUCUCUGGAGGAUGUACAGAGGGCACAGAUGGCUGGGCUGAACCAGAAAAGCCAUAGGCUCCAUUAGCAGCAUGUCUUUAAUGCUGUUCACUCCCCAGAAAUUCUGAUAGGCAUUUAACAUGACUUUAAAAGACUCCACAUGUCUCAGUUGCACAGCUGUAAAACGGAAGUGCCCUUCCUUGCGAGGACAAGGUUUUCAUAUGCUGUGGUGCUGGAGCCCAUGCAGCUGCCAUAUGUAGGUGGAUUCCUGUUGCUAUCUCCCUCAGAUCUAUCCGUAGAGGGUUUAUCACAGAGGAUAAACCUUGAGGAUUAUCACAAUCUGCUACGGGACAUAAAGGAGUCCUGCAGAUUCAACAAGUUCAAUUUGUUGACACGGGGAAAUUUGUGAACCAAAGGAUAACUGAGUUAUUCCAGUUCCUUUCUGUAGAGGCUCCCUGUCUCAUUAUCCCCAGACAAGUCCAUCUUAUUUCAGAAAGAGGGCUUGUGCAGGCUCCGGGCACAAUAACACACAUGAAAUUGUUGGUCAGCUUUUCUAGGCAAGCAAACCCAAGACCUUUCUCCUGAGCUUAGCCUUCUCCCUUUGCUUUUGCUGUGACAAAAGCACAAAUGGAAGAACCAUUUCUUCAACUGUCCCCCCAGCUUUGAAACAGUCUGUCUCAAACAUGAGAUGGAAAAACAAAUGAUCUCUUUGGGUUGUACAGGAACUUUUCACAGCUGAUAUUUUUUGCAAUACAAUGGCCAAACAAACUUCAGGAUGCUGUAAUUUUUCUCAGGCUGCAGAGAGAAGUCGUAGUAAAAGGACCUCUCUGGCUUUUCUCCACUCAAUGAGAGGUUCUGUUUGCUCAGAAUUUGUUCACUCUGAAUUUAAUUCAGUUAAAUUAACCUGGAGGAAUACCUAUUUUGAGCAAGAAAGAGAUAAAGAUAAAAAAGAACUUGAGAAUUCAUCCUUUCCUUUCACAUCUUUGGGGCUGAUUCUGGCUGACAGAGGAGAUCCAUUGAAAAAUAUGCCCAUAUUUAAUGAGAAUAUUAGCUCGAGGCAUAGCAGUGGUCAGCCUUAACUCUGUCACAGCAAAUCUAAUACACUCUGAUUCUACUUCAGAUGCACUUUCCUUUGCCAAAAUUGUUUGUUGCCUGGUUCUCUGGACCAGCAAAGAACCAUCAUAUUUACACAGAGCCCCUUUAAUUAACAGGUGUUACAUGGAGCACAUUACAGAAUCUGGGUUAUAAAUACUAUCAGGAUGAUGCUCUUGGAAAGGCAGAGAAAAAGACAUUAAAACAGGGAGGUGACUGAGUUGAUCGUGUUAAGUAGGUUGCAUUCACAAGGAAAAGUCUCAUGUGUCUUGAGGAUGUGUUAUGCUGUUCAAGUCAACAGAAUUACACAGAAUGACUGUUUUGAGGAAGGAAAUUUCACAGAGCUGUGUUUCACCCUCUUCAAAUCUGCUUUCCUACUGCAGGGUUCCUGGAGAAACUGCACGGUAUCUGCCAGAGAACAAGCCCUUGAUAGCGACGAUCCCGACAUCAACAGCAGUUAUUUCAAGGAUACCUAGAAACAGAAACAAAUGAGACAUAUUGUUGCUCCUUGCAUCCAUACAAUUUGUUGAGAUACUUUUGAAUGGCUGCUUAACUGCGGAGUAUGAUUUCAUAGCUAUCACUAGCCCACCUAAAGCCAUACUGCGACCAUACUGCAGUAUGCAAAACAAGACUCUCAUCUGAAGCAAUGUAAAACAACAAGGAUGUGGGGAUUGUUUGAGGCAAGCUUGACAAUAAACCCUCAGAUGUC